AUUGAACGCUGGCGGCAUGCCUUACACAUGCAAGUCGAACGGUAGCAGGUCUUCGGAUGCUGACGAGUGGCGAACGGGUGAGUAAUACAUCGGAACGUGCCCGAUCGUGGGGGAUAACGCAGCGAAAGCUGUGCUAAUACCGCAUACGAUCUACGGAUGAAAGCGGGGGAUCUUCGGACCUCGCGCGGACGGAGCGGCCGAUGGGAGAGUAGGUAGUUGGUGGGGUAAAGGCUCACCAGGCCUGCGAUCUGUAGCUGGUCUGAGAGGACGACCAGCCACACUGGGACUGAGACACGGCCCAGACUCCUACGGGAGGCAGCAGUGGGGAAUUUUGGACAAUGGGCGCAAGCCUGAUCCAGCCAUGCCGCGUGCAGGAUGAAGGCCUUCGGGUUGUAAACUGCUUUUGUACGGAACGAAAAGUCUCUUUUUAAUAAAGAGGGAUCAUGACGGUACCGUAAGAAUAAGCACCGGCUAACUACGUGCCAGCCGCCGCAGUAA
rnacentral:rRNA from 1 species